rnacentral:lncRNA from 1 species
CAGAAAACUACAUUUCUAUUAUCACAAGAUUUUAUGGCACAAAAGCAAAAACUUUAAUUCGAAAUUUCUACAUAUUUGGUAUGUAAUUCUCUUAACACAGCUCUACUCAAAUAACAUGUAUGCACGUAACAAAAUAUUGCACUCUACAGCAGGACCAAAAUGACAUUUCAAUACAAUGCCUAGCUAGUAUUCACUUUAUCCCAUAAAUAAUCCCAAAUUAUGCAAAAUUUU